rfam:Aedes albopictus isolate Foshan contig91030, whole genome shotgun sequence.
UAGCUUAGUUGGAUAAAGCGCCGGACUAGCGAUAACGGAGUCGUGGGUUCGAAUCCCAC